AGACCAGGGAUAGUGUUUCUAUGUUAGGAUCAUGGCUUUACUGGGCCAUUCCAAAAAGACACCAGGCCCUGUCUGUGAAGAGCUUCUUCCAGAUUUUCAUUGGCCUCUUCCAGAAUGCAAACUGCUGGCAGACGUUACCCUUGUUAAAUGCACUAGAUUUAUUUUAUUUUAUUUUAGCCUGGCUAAGAGUGUUUAGAUCUUUACCUAGGAAUGGAAAGCUGAAGGCUGUUCAUCAGAAGUGGUAAUGGAAGGAGGCUGCAGGGUGGCUCACAGCAUGUGGAACAGCCAUGGAGAGAUUCAGGAAUACAAUUGCACAGCACAGCCAACUUCCUUCAGUCAUUGCUCACAGAGCUGGACAGACUCCACUUCUCCUGGGCCUGAGGAUUCACCUUCCUUUUGGCACUCUGUCGCUGGAGUUGUUUCAGGGACAAUGGGACAUUCACAGCAUUUUCUUACAUUCUUAUAUCCAGUAGCACAUAGUUAACACCGUUUCUUCUAAUUUUAGCUGAAUGUGAACUGAAAAGCUGAAGUGCCUUUCCUGGAGGCCCAUAUCUGUUUGACUGACCCAUGACCCUAUUACUACAUGCUGCUGCUAUGCUUCAUGGCAUUCCACACCUGCACUGUGCUGCUCUUGACAUUAGCAUCACUUAAUAUGAGCAGAGACAUUCAUAUGUUAAUGACUAGAACAUCUGAAAGAAGUUAAGUGAAGUAGAUGAUUAAAGAUAUUGUUAGUUUUGUUAACUCUCCAGAGGUUGAGUCCGUGAUAUUUUUUUGCUGUUCUUCCAGUGAAAUCUCCUUUAAAAUCUCUUUUUUCUCCUAUUAAGUAUAGCAGUUAUGGUAUAGGUUUUGUAGAUUGAAAAAAAAAAAAAAAAAGAAAAAAGGAUUAUCUAUAAAAUGGAAUAUGUUUUCAGUUUCUAUCUGAAGCUUCUAUUUUAAUAGUAAUUUGUAGAACUAAUGAUCUCAUUGAAGUAGAACAAGCAGAUCUUAUUGUAGUCAAUUCUGUGACUUGAUUUCUGGAAAUAGAUUCUCUUUCAUUAAAUAAUGGAACACCCUAUUAUUUCUGUAGUAGCUCUUUUUACCAUACUGUCCUUGUAAUGAGUGUUUUGGGGAUCAUACACAUAUAAAGAAAGAGCCUAUGAAGGAAUGCAGGUAACUCAACAACUCACUGAGUGUAUUACAUCAGAUUUUAAAAGCAUCUGACAGAAAAAUGUGUCUCGGAUAAGAAAUCCAUUUCAGGCUAUGGGCAUGAAUAAUUCUCAAACAAUUUAAGACAAAGAGGGCUGCUUUUGUUCUAUUUUUUAAUGUAGGAUUUGAAUCCUUUACAUUUUAAAUUUAACCAGGAAUCACAACAGGACUUUGAAAUCAUGUUAGAAAAAAGAAAAAAGUUGUUUUCUGUUAUUUAUAGAGUGCCACACUUGAAGUGGGAUGAAGGCUGCAAAUCCUGCAUUAGUAUUCAGCACUAUAAGGGGAUUUUAAAUAUGAUGUUCAUCAGGCUUUUUCCCUAAAUUUAUCUGUCUAUACGAUCUAGAAAACUACGUCUUAAAAAAUAAAAUCAUUUAAAAAUCUC
ensembl:lncRNA